rnacentral:rRNA from 1 species
UACGGAAGGCAGCAGUGGGGAAUAUUGGACAAUGGGCGAAAGCCUGAUCCAGCCAUGCCGCAUGAGUGAAGAAGGCCUUCGGGUUGUAAAGCUCUUUUAGUGAGAAAGAUAAUGACGGUACUCACAGAAGAAGUCCUGGCUAACUCCGUGCCAGCAGCCGCGGUAAUACGGAGAGGGCUAGCGUUAUUCGGAAUUAUUGGGCGUAAAGAGCGCGUAGGCUGAUUAGUAAGUUAAAAGUGAAAUCCCAAAGCUUAAACUUUGGAAUUGCUUUUUAAAACUGCUAGUCUAGAGAUUGAAAGAGGAUAGAGGAAUUCCUAGUGUAGAGGUGAAAUUCGUAAAUAUUAGGAGGAACACCAGUGGCGAAGGCGUCUAUCUGGUUCAAAUCUGACGCUGAGGCGCGAAGGGCGUGGGGAGCAAACAGGGAUUUAGAUACC